GGGCCUAUAGUUUCAACGGUAAAACAUCGCUCUCCAAAAGCGAGGUUCCAGGUUCGAGUCCUGGUGGGCCCGCCA
rnacentral:tRNA from 2 species